rnacentral:lncRNA from 1 species
GUGACUGAAGUGCCUAUCUGUGCAGCCUGCAGUCGAGUAGCAGGGAUGUUGGGUCAAUGUUAGUCCCUGCAGAGGUUUCAGCGGAGGAUGCUAAAAAGGCGGAGGGACCACAGUUACUUGAAUGUAAGCGCCAGAAGAUAAGGAACCUUGUCUGUCCUGUUUCCCAUGAUACACCUAGCGCCCGGAAGAACGCAUGGAAUAAAGCAACACUCAGUAUAGUUUGUGGGAUGAAUAAAUUGUUACCGGAAACGAGAAGCAGCCAGAUAGGUCAAAAUAAUUUCAAGAUUGAAAGCUUGACCAAGAUAAUCAGGUGCUGGGCGCUCAUCGGAACAAGAUGGGCAGAGUCUCCGUGGUCAUGGAUCUAGGAGAGACAAGACAAAAACACUAAGUAAACUGAAGAUGAACAAGGCAACUACAAAUUGUGGCAAAUGUCAUGAAGAAACAAGAGAGCAAGAAAGAGAAACUUUAGAAAAGGAUAAAUUACAGGGGGCUGGCCUGGUGAUGCAGCGGUUAAGUGCGCACGUUCCGCUUCAGUGGCCCAAGGUUCGCCAGUUCAGAUCCCGGGUGUGGACAUGGCACUGCUUAUCAAGCCAUGCUGUGACAAGAAGUCCCCUUCUGCCAAAAUAAGACUGAAAACCAAAUAAAAAGUGCUUCUUUCACUCCGCCUUAACCUUCACUUUAUCUGAGGAGGUUCCGAAUUUCAAACAGAUGCCGUCACUCCCGAAUAGUGAUAGAUUUAGCCGAUCUGCCUUCUUCAAGUCCCAGCCUUUGUUUAAAUUGCAGGUCCUUCUAGUUGUGGCAUGUGGGACGCCGCCUCAGCGUGGCCUAAGGAGCGGUGCCAUGUCCGCACCCAGGAUCCAAACCAGCGAACCCCAGGCCACCGAAGCAUAACGUGCACACUUAACCUCUUUGCCACUGGGUGGACCCCCAAUUUCCCCACUUUCUAUUGUUAAAUUGUGUUAUGCUCUUCCUCCAAAAAACAUGUGUUUG